rnacentral:rRNA from 1 species
GGACUACUGGGGUUUCUAAUCCCGUUCGCUCCCCAUGCUGUCGUGUAUGAGCGUCAGUUGUGGGCCAGGACGCCGCCUUCGCCUCUGGUGUUCCUCCGGAUCUCUACGCAUUUUACCACUACACCCGGAAUUCCACGUCCCUCUCCCACCCUCUAGGUCCUCAGUCUGGCACACAGUUUCUGGGUUAAGCCCAGAGCUUUCAUGCACCACUUGAGGUCCCGCCUGCACACCCUUUACGCCCAGUAAAUCCGGAUAACGCUCGCCACCUACGUUUUACCGCGGCGGCUGGCAC